rnacentral:rRNA from 1 species
UACAGAGGUCUCAAGCGUUGUUCGGAUUCAUUGGGCGUAAAGGGUGCGUAGGUGGUUAGGUAAGUCGGAUGUGAAAUCCCGGGGCUCAACCUCGGAACUGCAUUCGAUACUGCCUGACUGGAGUACUGGAGAGGAGAUUGGAAUUUACGGUGUAGCAGUGAAAUGCGUAGAUAUCGUAAGGAAGACCAGUGGCGAAGGCGGAUCUCUGGACAGUUACUGACACUGAGGCACGAAGGCCGGGGGAGCGAACGGG